rnacentral:rRNA from 1 species
CCUACGAGUGGCAGCAGUAGGGAAUAUUGCUCAAUGGGGGAAACCCUGAAGCAGCAACGCCGCGUGGAGGAUGAAGGUUUUCGGAUUGUAAACUCCUUUUGAUAGAGAAGAUAAUGACGGUAUCUAACGAAUAAGCACCGGCUAACUCCGUGCCAGCAGCCGCGGUAAUACGGAGGGUGCAAGCGUUACUCGGAAUCACUGGUCGUAAAGAGCGCGUAGGCGGGUUAGCAAGUCAGAUGUGAAAUCCUAUGGCUUAACCAUAGAACUGCAUUUGAAACUGGUAUUCUAGAGUAUUGGAGAGGGAGGUGGGAUUCUUGGUGGAGGGGUAGAAUCCG